AUUGAACGCUGGCGGCAGGCCUAACACAUGCAAGUCGAACGAGUGGCGGACGGGUGAGUAAUGUCUGGGAAACUGCCCGAUGGAGGGGGAUAACUACUGGAAAAGGGAGCUAAUACCGCAUACCAUCGGAUGUGCCCAGUUGGGAGUAGCUAGUAGGUGGGGUAACGGCUGACCAAGGCGACGAUCCCUAGCUGGUCUGAGAGGAUGACCAGCCACACUGGAACUGAGACACGGUCCAGACUCCUACGGGAGGCAGCAGUGGGGAAUAUUGCACAAUGGGCGCAAGCCUGAUGCAGCCAUGCCGCGUGUAUGAAGAAGGCCUUCGGGUUGUAAAGCACUGUUAGCGAGGAGGCGUUACUCGCAGAGGAAGCACCGGCUAACUCCGUGCCAGCAGCCGCGGUAAUUC
rnacentral:rRNA from 1 species